UAUUAUAAUAGGAUGUCAUAUAUGCAAAAGAAUACACCUAGGAGAAUAUUGGUGCAAGCCUCCUCCAAUACCAGAAAAAAAAAUUCUCAAAUCCCGCUGGAUGGGAUAUUUGCGGGAGAAAAGAAAAAAGAAAGGAAG